rnacentral:rRNA from 1 species
UCGAAGGUAGCAUAAUCAGUAGUCUUUUAAUUGAAGGCUGGUAUGAAUGGUUGGACGAAAUAUUAACUGUUUCAUAAAAAUUUAUAAUAAAAUUUUAUUUUUUAGUUAAAAAGCUAAAAUUUAUUUAAAAGACGAGAAGACCCUAUAAAUCUUUAUAUAAUUAUUUAUUAUAAUUUUUUAGAUUUAUUUUGUUAUAAUUAAUAAUUAUAUUUUAUUGGGGUGAUAUUAAAAUUUAAUAAACUUUUAAUUAAAAAAAUCAUUAAUUUAUGAAUAGUUGAUCCGUUAUUAACGAUUAAAAAAUUAAGUUACUUUAGGGAUAACAGCGUAAUUUUUUUGGAGAGUUCUUAUCAAUAAAAAAGAUUGCGACCUCG